rnacentral:rRNA from 1 species
GUUGUAUGGUUAAGUGACUAAGCGUACACGGUGGAUGCCUGGGCAGUCAGAGGCGAUGAAGGACGUACUAACUUGCGAUAAGCGCAGAUAAGGCAGUAAGAGCCGUUUGAGUCUGCGAUUUCCGAAUGGGGAAACCCAACUGCAUAAGCAGUUACUGUUAACUGAAUACAUAGGUUAACAGAGCAAACCGGGGGAACUGAAACAUCUAAGUACCCCGAGGAGAAGAAAUCAACCGAGAUUCCGGUAGUAGCGGCGAGCGAACCUGGAUUAGCCCUUAAGCACUCGGUGAAGUAGGUGAACAAGCUGGAAAAGCUUGGCGAUACAGGGUGAUAGCCCCGUAACCGACGCUUCAUCGAGCGUGAAAUCGAGUAGGGCGGGACACGUGAUAUCCUGUCUGAAUAUGGGGGGACCAUCCUCCAAGGCUAAAUACUCCUGACUGACCGAUAGUGAACCAGUACCGUGAGGGAAAGGCGAAAAGAACCCCUGUGAGGGGAGUGAAAUAGAACCUGAAACCGUGUACGUACAAGCAGUAGGAGCACCUUCGUGGUGUGACUGCGUACCUUUUGUAUAAUGGGUCAGCGACUUAUAUUCAGUGGCAAGGUUAACCGUAUAGGGGAGCCGUAGCGAAAGCGAGUCUUAACUGGGCGCUCAGUCUCUGGAUAUAGACCCGAAACCGGGUGAUCUAGCCAUGGGCAGGUUGAAGGUUGAGUAACAUCAACUGGAGGACCGAACCGACUAAUGUUGAAAAAUUAGCGGAUGACUUGUGGCUAGGGGUGAAAGGCCAAUCAAACUCGGAGAUAGCUGGUUCUCCCCGAAAGCUAUUUAGGUAGCGCCUCGGACGAAUACUACUGGGGGUAGAGCACUGUUAAGGCUAGGGGGUCAUCCCGACUUACCAACCCUUUGCAAACUCCGAAUACCAGUAAGUACUAUCCGGGAGACACACGGCGGGUGCUAACGUCCGUCGUGGAGAGGGAAACAACCCAGACCGCCAGCUAAGGUCCCAAAGUAUUGCUAAGUGGGAAACGAUGUGGGAAGGCUCAGACAGCUAGGAUGUUGGCUUAGAAGCAGCCAUCAUUUAAAGAAAGCGUAAUAGCUCACUAGUCGAGUCGGCCUGCGCGGAAGAUGUAACGGGGCUAAGCAAUACACCGAAGCUGCGGCAAUGUCUUUUAGACAUUGGGUAGGGGAGCGUUCUGUAAGCCGUUGAAGGUGAAUCGUAAGGUUUGCUGGAGGUAUCAGAAGUGCGAAUGCUGACAUGAGUAACGACAAAGGGGGUGAAAAACCUCCUCGCCGGAAGACCAAGGGUUCCUGUCCAACGUUAAUCGGGGCAGGGUGAGUCGACCCCUAAGGUGAGGCCGAAAGGCGUAAUCGAUGGGAAACGGGUUAAUAUUCCCGUACUUCUGACUAUUGCGAUGGGGGGACGGAGAAGGCUAGGUGGGCCAGGCGACGGUUGUCCUGGUUCAAGUGCGUAGGCUUGAGAGUUAGGUAAAUCCGGCUCUCUCUAAGGCUGAGACACGACGUCGAGCUACUACGGUAGUGAAGUCAUUGAUGCCAUGCUUCCAGGAAAAGCCUCUAAGCUUCAGAUAGUCAGGAAUCGUACCCCAAACCGACACAGGUGGUCGGGUAGAGAAUACCAAGGCGCUUGAGAGAACUCGGGUGAAGGAACUAGGCAAAAUGGUACCGUAACUUCGGGAGAAGGUACGCUCUUGAUGGUGAAGUCCCUCGCGGAUGGAGCUGACGAGAGUCGCAGAUACCAGGUGGCUGCAACUGUUUAUUAAAAACACAGCACUGUGCAAAAUCGCAAGAUGACGUAUACGGUGUGACGCCUGCCCGGUGCCGGAAGGUUAAUUGAUGGGGUUAGCGCAAGCGAAGCUCUUGAUCGAAGCCCCGGUAAACGGCGGCCGUAACUAUAACGGUCCUAAGGUAGCGAAAUUCCUUGUCGGGUAAGUUCCGACCUGCACGAAUGGCGUAAUGAUGGCCACGCUGUCUCCACCCGAGACUCAGUGAAAUUGAAAUCGCUGUGAAGAUGCAGUGUACCCGCGGCUAGACGGAAAGACCCCGUGAACCUUUACUACAGCUUGGCACUGAACAUUGAACCUACAUGUGUAGGAUAGGUGGGAGGCUAUGAAGACGUGACGCCAGUUGCGUUGGAGCCGUCCUUGAAAUACCACCCUUGUAUGUUUGAUGUUCUAACUUAGACCCAUUAUCUGGGUUGAGGACAGUGCCUGGUGGGUAGUUUGACUGGGGCGGUCUCCUCCCAAAGAGUAACGGAGGAGCACGAAGGUGGGCUAAUCACGGUUGGACAUCGUGAGGUUAGUGCAAUGGCAUAAGCCCGCUUAACUGCGAGAAUGACGGUUCGAGCAGGUGCGAAAGCAGGUCAUAGUGAUCCGGUGGUUCUGUAUGGAAGGGCCAUCGCUCAACGGAUAAAAGGUACUCCGGGGAUAACAGGCUGAUACCGCCCAAGAGUUCAUAUCGACGGCGGUGUUUGGCACCUCGAUGUCGGCUCAUCACAUCCUGGGGCUGAAGUCGGUCCCAAGGGUAUGGCUGUUCGCCAUUUAAAGUGGUACGCGAGCUGGGUUUAGAACGUCGUGAGACAGUUCGGUCCCUAUCUGCCGUGGGCGUUGGAAGAUUGAAGGGGGCUGCUCCUAGUACGAGAGGACCGGAGUGGACGAACCUCUGGUGUUCGGGUUGUGUCGCCAGACGCAUUGCCCGGUAGCUAAGUUCGGAAUUGAUAAGCGCUGAAAGCAUCUAAGCGCGAAGCGAGCCCUGAGAUGAGUCUUCCCUGACAGUUUAACUGUCCUAAAGGGUUGUUCGAGACUAGAACGUUGAUAGGCAGGGUGUGUAAGCGUUGUGAGGCGUUGAGCUAACCUGUACUAAUUGCCCGUGAGGCUUAACCAUACAACACCCAAGGGGUUUUGUA